CUAAAGAAACAAAAUAAGGACUAAGGACUAUAUGUUACAAUUUUGCAUCACUUAGAUGAUGGGAGCAUCCUGUGAGAGUAGGUCAUGCCAUAGUCACCACUGGCUCAGGCAAUAAAGGCUUUCCAGUCCUUGAGCCGCCACCAGCCAUGACUGAAAGUUUGGGGAGGUGAUCCGGAAAUGAGCCCAUGAGAGCCUCCCUGGGAUGUUUAAUCUUGCAAAUUGUGAAGAAAAAUGAUGUGGCUCUUUCCCUGUUGUUUGUUUGAUUUUUUUUUUUAAAAGAAAACUGUCAUGCUGACUUACUGAUAUGAAUGCAGAGAUUGUUGUGGACAGGUCUCUUGUGCCUUGUACCAAACUAAGAGAAGGACUGGCUUGCUAAACAUUUAAGUAGAUUUAUAAAAUCAUCAUUUGUAAAGGGGACUGUUCAGAAAUUGUUUACUAGACUUCAGUCACAGAGUUUACCAUAUAUGAUGUUAUCUAAUAACAAAAAUGAGCUUAUUUGUCCUUCUUAAUAGUGAACCGAUUUACUAGGAGUAGAAUAAAUUGUUAAAGACAUUACAGGAAAUACACUUGAAAGCCUAACCUUUGAAAUGACAGUUCAUUGAUGACCUUUAUUUCUUCAGCAUUUCUUAAGAAUCUUUCUUGUUCAAUUCCUGCAAAUUAAUGUUACUUAAAGGCAUUUAAGGAAUGUCUUUGCAUAUAUUAUCAGAGGCUCUUGAAAGCCAUCUUUCUAACUUGAAAAUAAUUUUCAUUUUGGAAUCCCUGACUCUCUCUCUCAGGGGCUUCCUAGGAUAUUUAAGGUGAUAUUUUUUAACCCAGUACCUCUUAAACUUGUUAGCCAUUUCCAGCUUCCGAGUUGUGAUUUGUGGUUGUUGUUUUGUUUUCCUUUUUUAAAUGUUUUUUUAAACCUGGUCAAUGUUGAGUGUUGUCAUGUGUUUUUAACAAAAGCGCCUUUCUGUUUCUAUUGUCUGCUUGGAGGCUGAGGUAUGGCCAUUUCUCGUUCUGCUGAUUCACGGAAGAUGUUGAUCAGAACUGAAGCUAGGAGCCACACCACCAGGUCCUUUGAUGCCUAGGAACCCUCAGUGGCCAUGUCAGGGAGUUCCUGCUCAAGCCAGGGUGGCUUAGCCCAGGAUAACAGUAGAUUCUGAGAUGGGUGAGAAUUGUUCCACACGUGGCCACAGUCAUUCCUCUGGCAUAAUGGACUUGGGUUCAGGAGGUCUGUCUCUCUUCAAGGAUCAUGAGCUGAAAUUGCUAAACUUUGGGAGUUUUCAGUGACACCCUUCAAAGUGCUCACGGUGUGGUAUGGAUCAACUGAAGACGGCGAACGUGUUUUUUCCCUGUGGGACAUCUGUCUGUGUAACUUUCUCCGAGCUAGGCCACAAGGGGCGCUUAGGCCCGCAGAUGCCUAUUGUGAUUGGUUGAUGAGAUGCCAAGCAACGGGACCAUCCAGUCACCUUCAACGCAAGUAGGUUUGCUGAGAGGCUCCCUGCGUGACACUUCAUCCAAUCAGACGUGAAGCUGGCCCGAGGCGUGGAGCCAUGCUGCGUACCCAAAUGCCCCCACUUCCCCGAUCCACAACCGCCAUUGUCUGGUCCUGCCGUCUGAUGGCUGCUGCCUCCGCCAUGGCUGAAGCUUCCUCUGAGACGACCUCUGAGGAACAGCUGAUCACCCAGGAGCCCAAAGAGGCCAACUCUACGAUGGCCCAGAAGCAGAGCAAGCAGAGGAAGCGAGGGUGCCGUGGGCCCCGCAGGUGCCACGCCGACUGCCGCGGGGACAGCUUCGCCACCUAUUUCCGCCGGGUGCUGAAGAAAGUUCACCAGGGCCUCAGCCUUUCCCGGGAGGCUGUGAGUGUCAUGGAUUCUUUGGUUCAUGACAUAUUGGACCGCAUUGCCACCGAGGCUGGUCGCCUGGCCCGCUCCACCAAGCGCCAGACCAUCACCGCCUGGGAGACCCGGAUCGCUGUGCGCCUGCUGCUGCCGGGGGAGAUGGGCAAGCUGGCAGAGUCCGAAGGCACGAAGGCUGUCCUCAGGUACACCAGGAGCAAGUUUGCUCCCUCAGGAGUGCCCGAGUACCACGGAAACCCAAAGAGUCUUUUCAGAGCCACCCAACAUAGCCCAAAAGACCAGUGGCUUGCUAAGGGAGGGACCCCACUGGAGGUUGGGGCGGGUGGUGCCCUUCUGACUUGGGGGCCAUGUGGCAUGUGACAUCCUGCGAUUUUUCAAGCAUUUUUACCUCAGUACUAAAAAUUGUCAACUCCAAAAUAUCUGUAGUGCAAUUUGCUCCAAGAAAAGUAGCUGGUGUUUCUGUGAUUGCAUUUCAUUUCCUCAGUUUCCUAAAUGGUCAUUUUUAUUAGUUUUGUUUGUAGGUUAUCUUCAUGGUGAUAUUAUUAUUGCAUUGAUCUUUACGUUUUUCUCUCUCAUUCUCCUGUGACUGGAUGGUGAAAUUUUCCAGAACUUCACUAUAUGCCAUACAGCAACAGAGAAAAUGAAUAUGCUGAUACAGGAAGCAAGAAUAUUAGAAAAAUGUUAUGAAAAUAGUUGAAGAGAAAUGCUGACUGCACAAGGAGACCAAGAAAAAAACCCCCAGGAAAUCAGCCACAACUAAAUCGCUCUGGACAGUGCUGCCAGGUCGUCCUACAUGUUCGAAGCAACACUUUGAAAACCAAAGACGCUUGGCAGAACCCUGUUCCUUUGCAGAGACAGAGCUGUGUACCUGGUCCAAAGUACCACAUCUCACCCAGUGACUUACUUCUCAUUAUGCUAAUUGUUUUGCUUUAAAGCGCCAAUCUUUCUGUCAAAUGGGACAUACCAAUAAAUUUCUAAA